rnacentral:tRNA from 1 species
GUAGUUAAAUGAUAAGAUGCUAGUCUUACAAGCGGGAGACCGCGGGUUUGAUUCCCGCC